UGCAGGUGGUUAUGUUCUACAUGACCAAUAUGACAAAGAACUUUGUACAAAACUCCUAAAAAAUAUUCUAUUUUAUUUUAUAUUGUUAAAACAUUGCCUAUGUAUUUAAUCCUAAAUAAUUUAUUCCUAUAAAAUGUUUUCAAUCUUAGGCACCUCUGUGGAAAUAAAUUGCCAAAACAAGUAUGGUUCGGAAAAUGUCCAAUCAAAAUGCAGGAUAUUGGCACCUCAAAUGCUCGUUAGUCACCCAACGGCAUUUGUUAAUGCAAAUCAGCACUGAUCCAACUGCACUGCCAAUAGCUGUUAUAAUGCUGAUUUAGAGCUACGCCUAGCAACACUUUCAAGAUUAUUCAUCAAACUGGCAACACGAUUCUGAUUUUGAUUGAAGAGUGAAGGAGAGAGAGGACAAAGGAAAACAAACUUCUCGCUCACUCGUCGACUUCUACGAAAAUUGUAGUAAUUAUUUAGCAUUGAGUUUUUCUAUUUGUUUAUGGUUUUACUCAGUUUUUCAUCAUUUUAUUACACUGCACCGUCACAAUGUGGAAGAAUUUGAAGCAGCCGUUCCAUGGAACAGUUGUAAACCAGCAACUGCUUGUGGGCAAGCUUCGUCCGGAUGAUCUACAGCGUACGAUGGCCGUGGGAUAUCCGGAACCUGCUAGGGAAUGCCCGAAGCUACCACGUCGGAUGCACCAUCGAAGGCUGAUCCUAACAGCACGGCCGGCACGGCAAAGACGACAUGAUGAGCAAAGCGGUUACCUGAUUAAAUUUGCCGGGAGGCAGGAAUUUUUGUAAAUUAUGUUCAAAUUCAAGGCACGAAAGAGGAUUUGUGUAAAAAGUGAUCUAUUUUAUAUAAAAAAUUAUCAAAUUAAAUAUGUAUUAUUAAUAACGAAAGUCAAUUGCUCUCAAGGAAGCUUUCAAAAAAAUUUAAAUGAAUGUGAUCAAGAAAUAAAUUCACCAAAAUGGCCUAGUCUGAUACAGUAAACACAAGAUGCUACAAAAUCGCACCUGAAAAUUGCUUCUCAUUUAGCCGUGAGGACACGGGCCCGGACCAGCGAUGUCAACCUCCAUACUCCUCUGCAGAGCAUCAUCUUCUAAGCAACAUUACAAAAUCAUCAUAAAAAUGUCUUCACCAAAUCAGGUCAGUCGGUCGGUAACGCAGUUAAAACAAACUAAAAAUAGAAAUUGAGAAGGCAAGGGGAGAGGAAGCAACUUUUGUUUUGCUCUCUUUUUUUUUUGUUUUGACAUUUUCCGCAGGGGUGGACAAAAACAGUCGAGGCCAGCACUAAACCAGCCGAGUAAAGUCCAAAUGCGGUCAUUAUUCAGCACUAUAGUAGCUGUUAGUGCUGUCGUAAAAACUGUUUAGCUUUUGCUCGCAGCUGUAAAAGCGCAUUAAAUGCCGAAGUGUGGCUAGGUUUAAGUGCUGGAUGGUUACUUGGGCAGUAUCAAAAACCAUGAAUUUUGGUACCCAUAUUGCCCCAAGUCGAAUAGUUCGAUUAAUGUCCCCCCGGUAGAACCUUCCCGAGGGCAAUUGCCACUCCGGGUGUGGCCAAUCCGGUCAAAAUGGCCAUUUUCAUUACCAGUUUCAAAAAUCAUGAAUUUUGA